rnacentral:rRNA from 1 species
GAUGAACGCUGGCGGCGUGUCUAAUACAUGCAAGUCGAGCGAACAGACGAGGAGCUUGCUCCUCUGACGUUAGCGGCGGACGGGUGAGUAACACGUGGAUAACCUACCUAUAAGACUGGGAUAACUUCGGGAAACCGGAGCUAAUACCGGAUAAUAUAUUGAACCGCAUGGUUCAAUAGUGAAAGACGGUUUUGCUGUCACUUAUAGAUGGAUCCGCGCCGCAUUAGCUAGUUGGUAAGGUAACGGCUUACCAAGGCGACGAUGCGUAGCCGACCUGAGAGGGUGAUCGGCCACACUGGAACUGAGACACGGUCCAGACUCCUACGGGAGGCAGCAGUAGGGAAUCUUCCGCAAAGGGCGAAAGCCUGACGGAGCAACGCCGCGUGAGUGAUGAAGGUCUUCGGAUCGUAAAACUCUGUUAUUAGGGAAGAACAAAUGUGUAAGUAACUAUGCACGUCUUGACGGUACCUAAUCAGAAAGCCACGGCUAACUACGUG